rnacentral:rRNA from 1 species
AGUCGAACGGCAGCGCGGACUUCGGUCUGGCGGCGAGUGGCGAACGGGUGAGUAAUACAUCGGAACGUACCCUGUUGUGGGGGAUAACUAGUCGAAAGAUUAGCUAAUACCGCAUACGACCUGAGGGUGAAAGCGGGGGACCGCAAGGCCUCGCGCAGCAGGAGCGGCCGAUGUCUGAUUAGCUAGUUGGUGGGGUAAAGGCCCACCAAGGCGACGAUCAGUAGCUGGUCUGAGAGGACGAUCAGCCACACUGGGACUGAGACACGGCCCAGACUCCUACGGGAGGCAGCAGUGGGGAAUUUUGGACAAUGGGGGCAACCCUGAUCCAGCAAUGCCGCGUGUGUGAAGAAGGCCUUCGGGUUGUAAAGCACUUUUGUCCGGAAAGAAAUUGCUCUGGCUAAUACCUGGGGUAGAUGACGGUACCGGAAGAAUAAGCACCGGCUAACUACGUG